rnacentral:rRNA from 1 species
UACGUAGGGUGCGAGCGUUGUCCGGAAUUAUUGGGCGUAAAGAGCUUGUAGGCGGUUUGUCGCGUCUGCCGUGAAAAUCCGAGGCUCAACCUCGGACUUGCGGUGGGUACGGGCAGACUAGAGUGUGGUAGGGGAGACUGGAAUUCCUGGUGUAGCGGUGAAAUGCGCAGAUAUCAGGAGGAACACCGAUGGCGAAGGCAGGUCUCUGGGCCACUACUGACGCUGAGGAGCGAAAGUGUGGGGAGCGAACAGG